rnacentral:tRNA from 1 species
UGAUGUAGCUCAAUAGGCAGAGCAGCUGAUUUGUAAUCAGCAGGUUACAGGUUCGAUUCCUGCCAUCA